rnacentral:rRNA from 1 species
UACGUAGGGGGCAAGCGUUGUCCGGAUUUAUUGGGCGUAAAGAGCGUGUAGGCGGCCGGAUAGGUCCGUUGUGAAAACUCGAGGCUCAACCUCGAGACGCCGAUGGAAACCAUCCAGCUAGAGUCCGGAAGAGGAGAGUGGAAUUCCCGGUGUAGCGGUGAAAUGCGCAGAUAUCGGGAAGAACACCCGUGGCUAAGGCGGCUCUCUAGUACGGUACUGACGCUGAGACGCGAAAGCGUGGGGAGCGAACAGG